CAGAGUUUUGAAGAAUAAACCGAACCGAAGUUUCCCAGACACCGACAGCACAGAAGGGACGGACACCGGACGCCGAAGAGCUCAGAGAGUCACCGGCGAUCAGUAUAUUGACAGAAUAAACUCAGUGUACGGGACAAAACCGACACCUCGUUCUUUUCAGAUUGUUAUAUAAUGGCUUAUUCGUUUUAAUGUCUCAGAAUAGUUUGCAAUGUUUGAAUGUCGUGGAGCCUCCUAGUAAAUGAAUACUGAUGUAUAAAAUCACUGGAACGCUAACACAGUAAUCGCGAUCAAAUUUUAAAUAGUGACGUUUAACGAAGACUGAACGACCACCCGCCCAAAUGUGAUGUUUGGCAUGAAAGCAAAUAUUUUUCAGUUUAUAGUACUGCAUGUUGGUACGGAGCCCCCGAAGUCCCAUAGAGUGAUUUUUUUAUCUUGUGCGCACAAAACACAUAACUUGUGCGCACAAGUUACGUUGAGUUAGUAUUUGUAAGGAACAGGUUAGCUGCUUAUAGCUGCCGUACUACGUUUGCUAGACCUCUAGGUUAAGCUGCAUUUGCAGUUUUCAAGAGUUUACUGAUUUCUCAAAAAUGAUUUCAUUUACAUAAUUAGAUAGACGAAUUGCUGUGUGUUUGAUGUCACUCGCUUGUUUAAUCGAAUCGUUCUCCUAAAAAAAAAACAUUGCUGGCAUCAGGAUACAAUAUAAUAAGAUAUAGCCUAGUAGCCUUGCAAUUAAUAUUACUCGAAGGAGUAAAUGCAACGCUGCUGCGCACUACUUUGGCAUUAAGGCUGAGUUACGCAGUCCGCGUGAAUGGCUGCGUGAAUGGUCGCGACAGAGGUGAAGCGCCGUGAAGAAUACUUUUUCCUUUCACUAUCGGAAAUCAUAGUAAAACAGGUAUAAACAGGUUCAAUAAAUACAAUAAACAGGUUCAAUAAAUACAAUAAACAGGUGUCAGUAAUUAUGUCUUUACUGUACCUGUUUAUCAUAGUGUAUUAUUAUGAUUACCGAUAAUGACCGAAAAAAAAGUAUGUUCCUGUCGCUUCACCUCUGUCGUGACCAUUCAUACGGACGGUAACUAUCUUGUGCGCACAAGAUACAUAACUUGUGCGCACAAGCCGCACAAGAUAAAAAAAAAUCACUCUAUGAGACUCCGGGGGCUCCGUAUGUUGGCGUCUUUGUUUUAUAAUAAAAAAUAUUUCGCAUA